rnacentral:rRNA from 1 species
CAAUAGCAUAUAUUAACGUUGUUGCAGUUGAAAAGCUCGUAGUUGAACUUUUGGUAGGAGCGACCUGGCCUUGGGCGCAUGCCCUUGUUUGCCGUGUGUCGUAUCUGGCCAUCCUUUUCUUCUUUUUGGAAGGAAUCUUUUACUGUGAGUAAACUGGAGUGCUCAAAACAAGACGUUUGUUUGGUACAUUAAAGCAUGGAAUAAUAAGAUAGGACCUGGUUACUAUUUUGUUGGUUUGCAUAGCUAGGUAAUGAUUAACAGGGACAGUUGGGGGUAUUCGUAUUUAAUUGUCAGAGGUGAAAUUCUUGGAUUUAUGAAAGACGAACGACUGCGAAAGCAUUUACCAAGGAUGUUUNCAUUAA